UCUGCGCGUUCUUCAAUCCACAGACUGCGGUGGCGCAGAGGAGAGGACAAGGUACAUCUGGAAAAAGGGGGAUCGUCUUAUAAUCAGGGUCGUCUUAUAUUCGGGACAAUACGAGAAGACAUUUCUGUCACUAACAAAGUGGAUGGUGAGCAAAGAUGGUGGCCACGUUUUGGAGCAGCACCUGGGUUUUGCAGAUGUUUGUCUUUUUCCCCCAUUAUGUUUCUGUUGCCUAAAGAUUCUUUGUGAGGAUGAAUCCAGAGGACACAACAUAAUGCACUGCAAAACGUCCUAAGACAGG